rnacentral:rRNA from 1 species
CCGAUGGCGACCGGCGCACGGGUGAGUAACACGUAUCCAACCUGCCGAUGACUCGGGGAUAGCCUUUCGAAAGAAAGAUUAAUACCCGAUGGCAUAGUUCUUCCGCAUGGUAGAACUAUUAAAGGAUUUCGGUUAUCGAUGGGGAUGCGUUCCAUUAGUUUGUUGGCGGGGUAACGGCCCACCAAGACUACGAUGGAUAGGGGUUCUGAGAGGAAGGUCCCCCACAUUGGAACUGAGACACGGUCCAA